rnacentral:rRNA from 1 species
AUUGAACGCUGGCGGCAUGCCUUACACAUGCAAGUCGAACGGCAGCACGGGUGCUUGCCCCUGGUGGCGAGUGGCGAACGGGUGAGUAAUACAUCGGAACAUGUCCUGUAGUGGGGGAUAGCCCGGCGAAAGCCGGAUUAAUACCGCAUACGAUCUACGGAUGAAAGCGGGGGACCUUCGGGCCUCGCGCUAUAGGGUUGGCCGAUGGCUGAUUAGCUAGUUGGUGGGGUAAAGGCCUACCAAGGCGACGAUCAGUAGCUGGUCUGGGAGGACGACCAGCCACACUGGGACUGGGACACGGCCCAGACUCCUACGGGAGGCAGCAGUGGGGAAUUUUGGACAAUGGGCGAAAGCCUGAUCCAGCAAUGCCGCGUGUGUGAAGAAGGCCUUCGGGUUGUAAAGCACUUUUGUCCGGAAAGAAAUCCUUGGCCCUAAUACGGUCGGGGGAUGACGGUACCGGAAGAAUAAGCACCGGCUAACUACGUG